rnacentral:rRNA from 1 species
GACGAACGCUGGCGGCGUGCUUAACACAUGCAAGUCGAACGGAAAGGCCCUGCUUUUGUGGGGUGCUCGAGUGGCGAACGGGUGAGUAACACGUGUGUAACCUGCCCUCGACUUAGGGAGAACUUCAGGAAAUUGGGGCUAAUACCGGAUAGGAGCUCGUGCUGCAUGGUGGGGGUUGGAAAGUUUGGGCGGUUGGGGAUGGAUUCGCGGCUUAUCAGCUAGCUGGUGGGGGAGUGGCUUACCAAGGCUGUGACGGGUAGCUGGCCGGUGAGGGUGACCGGCCAGCCAGGCAGGGAGUGAGGGCCCGCACACACUCGUGAGGGAGGAGGGGGGAAUAUAGCACAGUGGGCGGAGGCAAGCCGGAGCAACGCCGGGUGCGGGAGGACGGACUGCGGGUUGUAAGUAAAUUUCGCUUGUGACGAAACAUGAGGGCCGGAAAUGGAGAAAGAGGCACGGGUUACUUACUU